CAAUAGCGUAUAUAAAAGUUGUUGCAGUUAAAAAGCUCGUAGUUGGGUGGUUUGUGUUGGGAUGUCAGUCGCCGAAAGGCGACUGGAGUCUCAGACAAUACUUGUGGGCUGUGCUGGGGUAUUCACUUACACCAACACUCGAACCCACAUCCUUUACUGUGAAAAAAUUAGAGUGUUUCAAGCAGGAGUUGCGUCUGGAAUACAUUAGCAUGGAAUAAUGAUAUAUGACUGUUGUUGUAUUUUGUUGGUUUGUCGGCGAUAGUAAUGAUUAAUAGGGUCAGUUGGGGGUAUUCAUAUUUGAGCGUCAGAGGUGAAAUUCUUGGAUCGCUGAAAGAUGAGCUAAGGCGAAAGCAUUUAUCAAGGAUGUUUUCAUUAA
rnacentral:rRNA from 1 species